GGAGUUAGCCGGUGCUUCUUCUGUGAGUGAUGUCCUUCCUGCCGGUUAUUGACCCGCAGGCCUUCUUCCUCACUGAAAGUGCUUUACAACCCGAAGGCCUUCUUCACACACGCGGCAUGGCUGGAUCAGGGUUGCCCCCAUUGUCCAAUAUUCCCCACUGCUGCCUCCCGUAGGAGUCUGGGCCGUGUCUCAGUCCCAGUGUGGCUGAUCAUCCUCUCAGACCAGCUACGGAUCGUCGCCUUGGUGAGCCGUUACCUCACCAACCAGCUAAUCCGACAUAGGCUCAUCCGAUAGCGCGAGGCCCGAAGGUCCCCGCUUCCCCGUAGGCGUAUGCGGUAUUAGCCUGGGUUUCCCCAGGUUACUCCCCACUACCGGGCAGAUUCCUAUGCAUUACUCACCCGUCCGCCGCUCGCCACCAGGGAGCAAGCUCCCCGUGCUGCCGCUCGACUUGCAUGUGUUAGGCCUGCCGCCAGCGUUCAAUCUGAACCAUGAUCAAACUCUGA
rnacentral:rRNA from 1 species